rnacentral:lncRNA from 1 species
AAUUGCCACCAGUUAGAUUUGGAGAUAAAUGUCAUUUCGCAGUAUAGUUCGUGACGUGCGAGAUAGUAUUGGGAGCUUAUCCAGGCGAAGUUUUGAUGUAAGGGUGUCAGGUCAUCACAGAGGAAAAUCACAUGGUUCAUUUAAUGAACUCAAUGAUCACCCUGUCAUAGUACAGAACAGUCGCUGGGCUAAUCUACCUCCUGAGCUACUUUAUGAUGUCAUUAAAAGGCUAGAGGAGAGUGAAAGUACAUGGCCAGGUCGAAAGCAUGUUGUUGCAUGCUCUGCUGUUUGCAAAUCAUGGAGGAGUAUGUGCAAGGAUAUUGUUAGAAACCCAGAGUUCUGUGGGAAGCUGACAUUUCCAGUUUCUCUGAAACAGGUAGCUUUUUAUGUCUUUGUUUAUGUUUAUUGCUUACUAAGAGUACAAGAUACUACACGCUGUUUCUUAUAAACGACUUACGUUUUGUCUUGGAGUGUGAUGUACUUCUAUUUGACUAUUUCCAACGUAGUAGUUCUUUGCGACAAAUGUUAUGGUAUGACGACAAAGCUAAACCACAUUUAUUGUCUUUUCAGCCAGGAUCUCGUGAUGGGGCUAUUCAGUGCUUUAUAAAGCGGGAUAAGUCUAAUUUGACUUACCACCUUUUUCUCUGUCUUAGCCCUGGUGAGUGAUCUCUUCCAGUCUUAAAGAAGAUAAAUCUUUGUGCUUUAAUGUUCUUGUGAUGCACAUAUCUUAAAUGAUUCUCUCAACAGAGGAAUAUAGAAAGGCUACUGAGAAUUAUUGUCUAGAGCAGUGGCGGACCUACAGUCAAUGUAGUGGGGGCAUGGGCCCCCAGUGAACUUCUGGCCCAAACUUAUAUUUGAGAUAACUUAGCUACUGCCCUUGCAAGUUUAUGCUAAUGGAUAACUGUAUAAGCAUGAAUGAAAGAAAAGUAGCCAAGCUCUCUCGACUUUAUAACUUGUUUUAUGUCUACAACGUAUAUGCACAUCUUUUACUCAAAUUAUUUCAAGCCAUUUAAUAUAUCUUUUAUUUUAUUAUAUCUUGUUUAAAAAAAAAUUGUUGUGCCCCCAAUGACAUUUAUUCCUGGGUCCGCCACUGGUCUAGAGUACCAUCGUAAUCUAAUAAUAUCACUUAGAUUGUCAGUAUUGGUUAUAAAUCUGUUAAUCUUUUUGUUGUCAAGGAAAGAGAUAAAUAUACUUAUUUAGCAGCACUCCAAUUAUUUGCGGGAUUGCAUUUAUUGCUUGGCUUAUUGGGNGGCGCUCUNAAUUGUUGUGCCCCCAAUGACAUUUAUUCCUGGGUCCGCCACUGGUCUAGAGUACCAUCGUAAUCUAAUAAUAUCACUUAGAUUGUCAGUAUUGGUUAUAAAUCUGUUAAUCUUUUUGUUGUCAAGGAAAGAGAUAAAUAUACUUAUUUAGCAGCACUCCAAUUAUUUGCGGGAUUGCAUUUAUUGCUUGGCUUAUUGGGAACAAAAUGAUAUAUAGUCUGCCCUAGUCUAGUCUGAUUGGAUGAAUAAAUUUGUCAGAAGUGGUAAUAAAUCUGCUAUGUUUUUUGUAGUGACUCGUGAGUGAACGAAGCAAAUGCGAGCUUUUAUCAGUACUAUAGUUUCCUAUGGUUGUGUUAUAUCGACUUAUCAAGAGCAAGAUAAAUUUUCCCGAAUAGGAUUAUCUUUGUGUGCAGGGUGCAGCACAUAUAAAUUCUUUGAUUAUUAUAGUGAAAGGGAAUUUUUGCAGCCAUCUUCUGUUAGAAUAGUUAUUGUGUUUUAUGAGUUUUUGAUAUCACAUAUAUAUAUCUCAGAUUGAGUGUCUUACUGGUUUUGAGUGUACUGGACCUUGUUGAUGAACAGUCCCAUACUUUUUCACUUUCUUCUGAGAUUUGUUAUAAUGCUCAUCUUGUCCAGCUUUUUAAUGCGUUUUGUAUUUCACAUAUACUGUGACAUGAUUCUCUUUUUAUGCAUUUGCUAGUGAGGUGGUAUGUUUGUGCUUAUAUUAAGUUGUACACACACACACACACACACACACACACGUAUAUGUAUAUAUAUAAUAUUCUGUAGGUGUUGAUAUGCUUUUGGGACUUUUCCUUACUGUAGCUUUGCUAGUUGAAAAUGGAAAGUUUCUUCUGUCUGCAAAAAGAACGCGACGAACAACUUGCACAGAAUAUGUGAUAUCUAUGGAUGCAGACAAUAUUUCAAGGUCCAGCAGCACCUACAUUGGAAAGCUAAGGUAACAAGAUAGAGCUGUGACUUUGAUUAAGAUUUUGAUCUCUCUCUGGCUUAAAUCUCUGAAUUUUUACCUUAUCUUUAUAUUGUCUUGAUUGGUUUAUUUGAAGUUAUACCAAAAACACAUUGGUGGACUUUAAGCUUAAAUUGGUCACUUUGGAGACAGUUGAGUUAUUUAAAUAACGCCCUUGUUAUAUCCUGUGAGCUCAGAAUAAGAGCUGCAGCUGCAGGCUUUUGUUUAACUCGGGGGUUAAGAAUGUAUAAAGAACUACUAUUGGUUAAAAAGCAUGUGCUGUAUCCAUGGCUUACAUAAACAGCUGACGUGAUAGGAUCAAGAUAAUUGCAAAGAAAUUGCAUAAUCUUGCCUUUUCAUAUCUAAUCGAAACAUAGUGGGAAAAGUCAUUUGUCAUUUGUCAAGCAGAUAUUUGCCUUGCAAUGUAGUUUUACACUUUCAUGAGUUUUUCUAAUGUAAAUCACAGACCUCUGAUGAUGAGCUUACUAGGUGAGUAGUUGUAACACAUGGUGGGAGUCUAGUCUUUGUGUAAUAUUUUUUCUAGGACGUUAUGCUGCUCUCAUAAUUAAAAAUAUGAUUAGUUGGGUUCACCACACUGAUAAUAUUUUUUUCGGUUGUUUGCUAAUUGCUAUGCAUUUCUUUUAGUACGAGUCAUCAAUUAAAUCCUCAUGCAUGAGGCAACAUAUAUUCUCCAUUAUAAUUUAUAGCAAUGUUUGCUUCCUUCUUAGAACUCCUAAAAACAUGCAAAUUUGGUGUUGUCUUUUUAUAAUGCUUAUAUCUACAUAUUUAAUUUAAGAAAUUAUUUUCUAAAUGCAUCAAAUCUUGUGUGACUGAUAUCAUUGCUGUUGUCUGUUUCAGAUCGAAUUUCCUUGGCACAAAAUUUAUUAUAUAUGAUACCCAGCCUCCACACGCUGGUACCCAUGUUCCGCCACCAGGCAGAUCUAGCCGUAGAUUCUAUUCCAAAAAGGUCUCUCCUAAAGUCCCAACAGGCAGCUAUAACAUAGCUCACAUCACAUAUGAGCUUAAUGUCCUUGGCACCCGUGGUCCGAGAAGGAUGCACUGCAUUAUGCACUCAAUCCCCAUCUCAGCCCUUGAGGCAGGUGGCACCGUUCCUGGGCAGCCAGAGCUCCUACCUCGCUCUGUUGAUGACUCAUUCCGAAGCAUUUCCUUCUCAAAGUCUCUUGACCACUCAGUGGAGUUCAGCAGUUCACGCUUUUCUGAAAUUGGUGCUGCUGCUGUUGCUUGCAGUGAAGAUGAGGAAGGGAAAUCAAAACCCUUGAUUCUGAAAAACAAGGCACCGAGAUGGCAUGAACAGUUACAGUGCUGGUGCCUGAAUUUCCGAGGACGAGUUACAGUAGCCUCUGUUAAGAACUUUCAGUUGAUUGCAUCCACACAGCCAACUGUCACGGCUGCACCAACAACUUCCCAGCCAGCGCAACCUGAACAUGAUAAAGUCAUAUUGCAGUUUGGUAAGGUAGGAAAAGAUAUGUUUACUAUGGAUUAUCGCUACCCGUUGUCUGCUUUCCAGGCAUUCGCGAUCUGUUUAAGCAGUUUCGACACCAAAUUGGCUUGUGAAUAAAAGAUUGAAAAAGAAGAUUAUCUUCAACUCUAGAGCUAUAAAAGGAUUGCAUAAAGAGGAAUAGCAUGUCUUCUGUAUUGUUAAUUUCUGUUCAAGUCGUCUCCUUUAGACACCAGAGUAGGAGACUCUUGUUAGUGUCAUGUUUGUUGUAAACUCAACUGUAACAGUAGCCCUAUGCUCUGCUCUUUGGGUGCUUCGACCUUUCUAAUCUCAAUUCUAUCUGUCUCAUCCCCCUCCCUCCCUACCUUUAUAUAUAUGCUGUGGUUCGAAUAAACACCAUUUUAGCGUGAUAAAACAUGAGAACUAUGUGUUCUGCCAUUUUUUUUUUGUUGUGUUCCGCCGAUUUGCUAGAUUUGAUCACGUGAAAUCUCCUAUGUGUAAACUGUGGGCAAGAGGUUGCCAUCUUUGAAGUCUCUUAUUGUCAACUUGGAUGAUAUUUCAUUACUGUAUAGAGAGCAUAAUUAAUCUUUUUCACAGCACAACUAGAUCUAAUCAUUCACCUUCCUAUAUUCAAAAGCAAUUGAAAAAAGUUAAGUUGAUAUGAUAACUUGAGAAAGCAACAAUCUUUUUUCCUCCUACACUGUUAAGGCAUUAAAUGUUAUGGAGAUCCAAGGAGAUCUUCUGGUGAUCACAAAAUGAGGCAGAAUAGGUGUAGAGAGCCAUGAAUAUUGAAUAGAAUUGACACUUUCAAACAAUAAUUAUGGGACAUCAACAUCAACUAGAUCAAAGGCCACAUUGUUUGGCCAACAACUUGUGAUGGUAAUGAUGCAAGGAGAAUUUUGCUUGGAAAAGUUUCUGAUGGUAUCUAGUUUCAAGAAUUCGGAUGGAUCAAAGUUCCCGACUCUCUCAAAACCUCGAGUCAUAUAUAUGUGUUAACACUUAACACAAGCACAAUGAGUUUUUUUUUUAUCAAUGAAGUAAAAAUGGGAUGUAAAACAAAGGUUUGCAUCAACUCCCAGGGAAAUACCAGACUUGUGGGAAGAAAAAAGAGUAUUUUUACUGUGAAGAAGCCUUGUAUGUAGGACAAGACUCAAGAGUGCAAGGCAAGAUUGGAUAUGCUGGUAGGAAAAGAAAGAUAUAUACCAAGCAGAAACUAGUAACAUCAGCUAGGGCCAGUCAUUAAGAACCCAGAAAAGUCUCCAUUAAUGCCUUAUCUACAAGCAAGACACUUUGCACACUUAGACUGGAGGAUUAAUACAGUAGUAGUUUUACUCCCAUCAAUACAGCAGAAAAGUGGCACCCUCAGUUGCUACAGUAAGUAAUGCCUUGAGAAUAGGUCUUGAUCCUGAAAAAACUUCAAAUACGCGGUGCAAGCCUGCAAGGGCAUGUAUCUGACAGGAUCAAGAACAUUUCCUCCACGCGGCUUCGAUGUGUUGUGUAUAAAUUGAUCAGAAUAGCACAAUGCAGUAAUGUAUGGGUUCCAAAAAAUCAAGAUUGCUAUUGUUAAGAACGUCAAGAAGGUGAUGCUGCCAAGACAAAUCGACGGAUGCCUAGAAAUUAAAAAAUCCGCAAAUAGCUGCAGAGGGAAACCUACAGGGAUGCAAAUUUAUGAUUCAUAUGAAUUAGAGGUGAUACCAUCUGGUCAGUAUCAGUUAAGAUAUUGGUAGGAGCCCAGAAUCUGUAACCAAUGACACGUCAUAUAUGCAGCUGCAUGACAGCUGUUGCAAGCCACUCGGGCCAAGAAAUAAAUUUGCAUGUGAAUUUACGAUAUGAAUGUGGAUGACUAGUUACGAUAUGAGUUAACAUUCCAUGUAUUUUAAGAUAUGAAUGUGGAUGACUAGUUGCGAUCAUAAAAUCAAUCAAAAUAUAAAUUUUGGUGUAUCCACUGAAAUUAAAUUAAUUUGUCAAAAUAACUAAUUCAUGUAUCAUCUUUUUGCAGGAAAAAUUGAUAAUGCAGCAUCACCUUCUGCAAGAAUAUUACUAGUACUACUCAAGUAACGCCCAGCUAGGCAUGUCAACGGGUCGGGUUUGGAUCAUCAGUCUAAAUCCAUAUCCAUAUCCAUUUAUUUUAUCGGAUUUGAAUUCGGAUCGGAUUGGGACAAGAUUUUUUAAAGACCAAUCCAUAUCCAGAUCCAUUAGGAACACGGAUCACGGAUCGGAUAUUCGAAUCCAUUUAACUUUUUUUGAUUUUUUUAGAUUUAAAAAUAUUUUAAAAAAAUUCAUGUCGGUGAUUCUUCAAGUUCCGGAAGGACAAGAUUAAAACGAGAUUUCAUGAUGCAAGUAGCAUGAUAUAUUUUCAUCUAUAAAAAAUAUCACAAAUUAAGUUAGAAAAAAAAAAUACACAAAAUGAUAUAAUUUCGAGGAUACUAGUUGCUCUAACUUUUAAACUCAUACAUACUCCUUUUGUUUGUUAAUAUACGACAUUUGACUUUUUGGUACACAUUUUUAAGUAUUUUGAAAGGUUAGUUAAAAGUAUUUUUAAUAUUUUCUUUUUCUGAAUAAAAAUAUAUAAUCAAUAUUUCAAUUUACAAAAAAAUUCAUUUAAAAAUAAUAUUUUAUACUAUCCGAUCAACCCACCUAAAAAUAUGUGCUCAAGUCAAAAGUGUCGUAUAAAAAAACCAGAGGGAGUCCUAAUUAUUUAAAUGAUUAAUCAAACAUACCAUCCCGGACUCACAUAAAUGCUAUCCAGUCACUAAUACAAUUCAAAAAAUUUAUAAUAUAUAUAUAUAUUCCACCGGAUCGGGUUAUUAACGGAUCAGAUCACCUUAAAUACAUAUCCGCUUUAUUUAUUAUCAGAUUUUUUUAUCGGAUCAGAUUUCAGAUCGAAUUUAUUUUUGAUCCCAGAUCGGCUCGGAUCGGGGCGGAGCUCCGGUCCAUGGACAAACCUACGCCCAGCUCAGCUAGCAUAUAAACAAACAUUUAUAUAUUUGAAUCAUAAAACAAAACGUAAAGCACCCAAUUUUAAGUACAAAGUCUAUUCUUUAAGAUUUUGAUAGUCUAUUGCUCUUAAAGUUCCUUCCUUUCUGGAGUUUUUGAGAAUCCAAGGACUUGAUAUAUACACUUGUUUAAACCCCAACUCAAGAUUUUCUUGCAAUUGAAAAUUUAAGGUAUGCGCUGUUUAGCAUUGCUGUUUUCUGUUUUUUAAGUUUCUAUUAUAUGGGUUUUGCAUUUGUAUUGCUCUAGGUUCAGAAAGUUCAUGUCUUUUCUUAUGUUUUUGUAUCUUCUGGGAAAUUGAUUCUGACCCUAUUGCAUCUUAGAGGGUUUUUUACUUGUAUAUGGUAAUUGGGUUUUGAUUAUAUUGGUGGUUAUAUUGGGGGUCACCCUGUUUGUAUCUGGAUGUUGUUGUAGUGUUUAUUGAGUUGUCUUUAGAUAGUUUGUGGGAGAUUUUGUUUGAAUUGGGAAAAUGCCUUCUACGGAUAGCCCGGGUUUAUCAAUGCCAUUCGCUACAUUUCGUCGAUCAGUUUUUGGUUUAGGGAAUGAUAGAAUUCAUUCCUUGGAAUCGAAUCGUAGUCCACUUGUCCAAAACACUGAGUUUGAGUCAUUUCAGAAUAAAGUCUAUAAGAGAUUUCAUGAUCUCUCGAUUGCCAACUGCCAAGGCUGAUGAGUUUCUUUCACUUACAUGGAUAAGUAAGUUACUUGAUACCUUGAUUGAUUUCCAAGAGGAAUUUAGGGUCCUAUUAUGUAAGUAUAAGGUUGAUAUGUCGAAACCGCCUUUAGACAAGAUGAUUCUGAUUACUUUGAGAGGAGCAUCAAGGUGCUUGACAUAUGUAAUGCAACUAGAGAUGGGGUUGAUAUGAUUAGGCUUUGGAACAAGCAUUUGGAUAUGGUUCUAAGUGCUUUUGGUUCUCGACAAAGGAUCAUUGGUGAAGGCACGUUUCGUCGAGCAAGAAAAGCUUUGACAGAGUUAGCACUCGUGAUGCUUGAUGAUAAGGGCUACGGGAGUGUUGUCUCACACAUGAAUAAGGUCUUUUGGGUGGCAUAAUAAGGGGAAAGAACAGCACUAUCGUUUACAAGGACACUCAAGGUCUCUGUCUUGGAGUGUAUCACAUUCGUGGUCAGCAACAAAGCAGCUUCAAUCCAUUGCAAACACAGUAGUUCCACCGCGUGCUCAUGAGAUCACAGAAACUAAAGGGCUUGCAGUUCCCAUCUUCACAAUGAGUUUUGUGCACAUGUUUGUACUGUGGGCUCUGGUUGCUGCUAUUCCUUGUCAAGAUCGCAGCCUUCAAAUUCAUUUCUCUAUUCCAAGGCAGUUUUCAUGGUCAACUCCUUUUUACUUGAUUCAUGUCAGGAUCAUGGAUGAAUCUAAGAAGAGAGAUCACAGAAGCUCCAUUGGGUUACUUCAGGAGAUAUAUCAGCUAGAAAGUAGUGUUAGACGCAUCACAGAUAUUGUAGAUUCUGCCCACUUUCCUAUGACAGAGCAACAAAAGGAAGAAUCGAAGUCUGCGGUUAAGGAGAUAACUUUGGUAUGUGAAGCUUGUAAAGAUGGAAUGGAUCCCCUUGAACGACAAAUAAGGGAAGUGUUUCGCAGAAUUAUGAGUUUCCGGAUUGAGGGUCUUGCAAUACUAGGGAGGGAAGACUAGCCUUGUUAAUUCAGACCACCACUAAUGAACAGCAAAAAAAAAGAAGAAUAUCGGACGAAUCUGGGAAUUAGUGUUUUGACCAGCCUCGCUCAGAAAAUGUUCUCCCUAUUGUUAUUUAGCAGGUACUUUCUUUAUUUACAAGCAUACCUCACAUAAUGUAAAGAAUAUACGAGUGUUUAUAUUGGACCAUCCUAAACUGGGUGUUAUCCAAAUUAAUUGAUUGGUUUCUUCUUGUUUAUUUCUCUUUCGCAAGGUUUGAUUGAAGGAGCAAGUUUGUGUAUAUGAGAAGAUUCUUUUAAAGGAUAUACGCACACACACCAUUGCUUAUCUGUUUUUAUUGUAUAUCAUCUUGGCCUUCCAUUGAUGAUGAUUAUGAAUAUGAGAAGUUGAUUUGAGUUUGUUUUAAUCUUUUGGUGCGCACUGCACAAUGCACUGCACUAUGGUAGAUGUUUUGAACGGCGAUUGAGAUGAUUCAUUGACAAAAGUAAGAGUUUGUCGGAUGUGGGAGUAGACUGUUAUCUCAUGAAUUUAAAUUGAUGUUUUUGCGGACAACCAAUUCAAAGAAUUUGGAGGAAGGAGUCACUAAUAUACACCUGCAUGGAUUGGAAUUAAUAUGUCCCGACAUGAUUAAUGUUCGUAUAACUAGAACAUAAUGUUUAUCCCUAUUAAAACUGGGGAUGUUUUCGGAUUUGCAUAUCAAUAUCUUGUUGAUUUUUACGUACUUAUGUUUUUGCAAACUUAUUGUCCGUUUUAUUGGUCAAUCAAUGUAUAUGGCUAGAUGUCAUCAAUCAGUUCUGUUAAAGAGCUGUAUGCUUUUUACAUGUAGGGCAUGGUGUAUAUGUUUAAGAAGUAGUGUUUGAAAAUUAAUGACAAUGUUCUUGAAAAACAUGCUUACUUUAAAAAAAAAAAACACAACUAAAAGUAAGGUUCGUCAUGCCUUCGAUCGUUGAUUAUAUGUAGAAAUUCAUUUUUAUUUUUCACUCAUGAAUUAAAGUCCAAUUUUGUAAUUUCAUAUAUUAAUAUUGGUAUUGUAUCGAGAUGUUUAUAAUAUAAAAUUUAUUUUACUCUGCAAAUACUAAUUUUGAGUCAUUAAUAUAAUUUUUAUACGCCGCCGCAACGCGCGGCUUCUCAACUAGUAUAGAACUUAUAGUGAAUUAUUAUAUUGAUAAUGUGACAAUUCUGAUAUUAUUUUUUCUACUUUCUUUUUAUUUAUAUUUUAUUUUAUCUGAUAAAAAAGUUGGAUAUUGAGUUGCAGAGAAGUGAAUAUAAUUAGAGGGAAGUGAAUAUUAUAUUUAUUAAUAAUUUAAAGAAUAACUAGAUACUUUUUUUAACUAAGACACUUUUAGAUGAGAGGAAACUCUUGAAUUUUCAAAAAGCUGUUAUAAAUAUAUUAGAGCACUAUUUUUUCACAUCUCUUUAAAUUUAAAAUUAAGGAUUUUUGUAUAACUCAUCGACAAUGCUCUUAGUUUAUUCAUUGCUAGAUUAUAAAUUACCUACUGUACUUUUUAUGAAAUGGUUGAGACAUAUUUUCACAACAGGUUAAAUCUUGAAUUUUUUUCAAAAUUUUGGUCAAGUUUUUAGUUUGUGAAUUUAAAAAUAAGUCAAAAUAUACUAUUCUAAAUGUAACGAUUUGAAUAAUACACAAGCCCAUUGUAUGCCUCCAAAAAAUCACCAUUUAUUUAUUGGUGUAUUGUGCAAUUGAUAAUGAAUUAAUUCAUAUUAAUAAAUCAAAAGAAUGUCUCUAUUUUGUAAACGUGAGACUGAAAUGUUAUAUAAACACUUAACUCCUUAAAGUUAGAACUUAUUUAUAGGAAUAUAUUUACGAAUCAGUACUGAAAAGCAUGUGUCCAUCAUUCCGGCCAAAGAUGAAAUAAAGAGACCAUGAGAUUUAAAUUAAGGAGCCGUGCAAAAAUUUUACUUGUUUUCUUAUCAUAUAAACAAUCUGAUUUGUCUUAUAUGACGACUAACAGUUUCAAUAUACAACGUAAUAAUGCAGCAAAUUGCUAUGACCAAUGUUCCAGAAUUCGCUAGGCGUCCCUGGACGGUCGGGGUACCUUCGAGUGAUUAAUCGGGAAAUCGGGGAUUAAUCGGAAGGAUUAAUCGGAGCAUUUAAUUGGACAUAUAUUAUUUUUAAAUUAUUAUAAUUAAAUGUAAUUUAAUAAUUUUAUCUAUUUUUCACUACUGGUAGAGUCAAACUGGUAAAUAAUAUAAUAUCACAUAUAAAAUAAAUACUUGAUACAUGUAAUACAAAAUCGUUGAUUAGAUAAAUAUAUAUCAAUCAUUCUCUUAUAAAUAAUUUAAGAAAUAUUAAAUAAAAAUAUUAGUCAUUUUAAUUUUUUUAUAAGAUAUUAAGUUAAUUACAAGUGAAUACUUAAUUUCUUACAAUAUAAUCAUAAUUUUAGAUUUUAUUUAUUAAAAAUAUGAUUUUUUUUGUUAUUAGCCGCCUGGACCGCCUAGGCGGGAUGUUGACCGCCUAGGACCGAUUUUUGUAAAAAAAUGUCUAAUUCACCGCCUAGGACCGAAUCAGGGCGUUUCGGGGCCGCCUAGCGUCUAGGCACCGUCUAGACCAAUUUUUAGAACACUAGUUAUGACCGAGUAGUAUAAUAUGGUGAGCUAUCACAUAACUUUCAUCUGGCGGGAAAAACGACGUUAAACAUAGAAAAUUCUAAUAUGAAAUAAUUUAUAAUGAUAUUGUAACACUUUAAAUAUACGUCAAAAACAUAAUUAUUGUAUUAUUUUUUUCAACUGUAUGUAUGCUACUAAUGUUAGAGAACCAUACCACUUGUAUAUAGUGGUGUACAAAACAGAAAUUGCAAAAUAAGUAUACACGAGCCUUUCACUUCCUUUCCCCAAAAAAAAAUUUUACAACCCAAACCGGCCAAACACUGCCCUAAUUCGAGGAUAAUAAAAAACAGCAACUGUUUAUAUCGGCAACUUUCGUUAAAGCGUUGUUUGUCAGAGACUUUGGUGCGUGUAUACAUACAAUCUCUAUCUCCAUCUGUAUCGCAUAUACGACUGCACAGUGCCCCCAACUCACAAUCUCAAAAAGUCAACACCAUGUUAGUCGUUGGUUGCUUUCUAGCCAGGUUUUGAUGAUGUAGUGGGUAUUAUUCUAUUUCUUAUUAUGUUCAAGAUUCAAGCUUUUUGAUGUUUUUAUGUUCAAUAUGAGUCUUUCAGAUCUUGGUAUGUGAGUUCUUUGGGGGUUUUGUUCUUAAUAAUGGUAUAAUUUCAGUGGUUUUGAUUUUUGGUUCACUGGCUCUCAAGAAAAAAAGUAAAAAAAAUUCUUAUUUUUUAAUUUUAAUUUAUGCUUCUGUUUUUUGCAAGACAUGGUUAGGUUUUUGCCAGUUUUACUUUGUGAUUUAAUUGAUGUUUGAAGGUAGAUAUGCUUGUUGAUUGUGAAUUUUUGGGCUGAUUUUGAAUGGGUCAAUUUUGACUUUUUCAAGUAAUUUGUAUAGUCUGUAUAUAUUUUCUAUCUGAUUUCUGAACUUGAGUUGAUGGAUGCAGAUCUUAAUGUUGCUGUAGGGAUUUGAAAAAAUUGUGUAGUAAGCAGCUUAGAUUCCUCAUCCUUUGGGCCUUUCCUGAUAGCUAUAUGUUUAAUUUUACACUUUGAUAUGCUUGUAAACAUACAAUCUGGUCAUGUUAAGAUUUCUGUUGUGAACUGAGAAUCAGGUACAUAUAUGAUAUAUGUAUGUUUUAUUGAAUUGCAUCUUGAAGAGUUGAAAUAUAAUGUACAAAUGAAACCAAGCCUGCAUUUGAUUUGUUAUUUGUUUCGGUGUAUUGUUGUAUGAGUGUACUGAAUCAAAUAUUUGUUCACAAGAUUAGGCUAAAAUCAACAACCUUAGCCUUUUUUAGUGGAACUGUAAGAGUUAUUAGACCUUGAUAAAUAUCAGAAAGAUGCAAGUAAAAAAUUUCUCAAUUUAGUCUAGUUUAGAGUCACUAUGAAUGUGUCUUUAUCUACUCAUCUUCUUUUCUUUUCUUUUUUCCUUUAGAUGCCCUUUUGAUUUCUCCCUUCUCUUUAUCUGAGAAUAUAAGUCUUUGCCUCAUAAAUCUAAUUGACCUUUCAUAUUUUAUUGCAGCUUUAUUCACAUGUGAAGUGUAAUAAAAUUAUAGAAAUAGAGUGAAAGUAGUUGUGACUAGAGUUCUGAAAGUGAGUUUCAAUUGCCACCAGUUAGAUUUGGAGAUAAAUGUCAUUCCGCAGUAUAGUUCGUGAUGUGCGAGAUAGUAUCGGGAGCUUAUCCAGGCGAAGUUUUGAUGUAAGGGUUUCAUGUCAUCACAGAGGAAAAUCACAUGGUUCAUUUAAUGACCUCGAUGAUCACCCUGUCAUAGUACAGAACAGUCGCUGGGCUAAUCUUCCUCCUGAGCUACUUUAUGAUGUCAUUAAAAGGCUAGAGGAGAGUGAAAGUACAUGGCCAGGUCGAAAGCAUGUUGUUGCAU